UACAGAGGGUGCAAACGUUGCUCGGAAUCAUUGGGCGUAAAGCGCACGUAGGUGGCCCCAUAAGUCAGACGUGAAAUCCCUCGGCUCAACCGAGGAACUGCGUCUGAGACUGCGGGGCUUGAAUCCGGGAGAGGGAUGCGGAAUUCCAGGUGUAGCGGUGAAAUGCGUAGAUAUCUGGAGGAACACCGGUGGCGAAGGCGGCAUCCUGGACCGGUAUUGACACUGAGGAGCGAAAGCCAGGGGAGCAAACGGG
rnacentral:rRNA from 1 species